rnacentral:rRNA from 1 species
GACAGAGGAUGCAAGCGUUAUCCGGAAUGAUUGGGCGUAAAGCGUCUGUAGGUGGCUUUUCAAGUCCGCCGUCAAAUCCCAGGGCUCAACCCUGGACAGGCGGUGGAAACUGCCAAGCUGGAGUACGGUAGGGGCAGAGGGAAUUUCCGGUGGAGCGGUGAAAUGCGUAGAGAUCGGGAAGAACACCCGUGGCGAAGGCGGUUCUCUGGGACGGUACUGACGCUGAGACGCGAAAGCGUGGGGAGCGAACAGG